AUACCCUGGGCUCGAGUUUAAUCCGGGCUCGUACGUCAUAACAAGGUAGCCGUAAAGAUUAUCCAGGGGGCCAGUUUACUCCUGACAGGGAAACCUUAAGGAGAAAGCCGAUCUUUACCUAUACUUGUUUAGAACCGCGGGUUCUUAAGUAAAAGAUGGUUUUGCUAUCACUUAUAGAUGGACCCGCGCCGUAUUAGCUAGUUGGUAAGGUAACGGCUUACCAAGGCAACGAUACGUAGCCGACCUGAGAGGGUGAUCGGCCACACUGGAACUGAGACACGGUCCAGACUCCUACGGGAGGCAGCAGUAGGGAAUCUUCCGCAAUGGGCGAAAGCCUGACGGAGCAACGCCGCGUGAGUGAUGAAGGUCUUCGGAUCGUAAAACUCUGUUAUUAGGGAAGAACAAAUGUGUAAGUAACUGUGCACAUCUUGACGGUACCUAAUCAGAAAGCCACGGCUAACUACGUGCCAGCAGCCGCGGUAAUACGUAGGUGGCAAGCGUUAUCCGGAAUUAUUGGGCGUAAAGCGCGCGUAGGCGGUUUCUUAAGUCUGAUGUGAAAGCCCACGGCUCAACCGGGGAGGGUCAUUGGAAACUGGGAAACUUGAGUACAGAAGAAGAAAGUGGAAUUCCAUGUGUAGCGGUGAAAUGCGCAGAGAUAUGGAGGAACCCCAGUGGCGAAGGCGACUUUCUGGUCUGUAACUGACGCUUAUGUGCGAAAGCGUGGGGAUCAAACAGGAUUAGAUACCCUGGUAGUCCCCGCCGUAAACGAUGAGUGCUAAGUGUGUAAGGGGGUUUCCGCCCCUUAGUGCUGCACCUAACGCAUUAAGCACUCCGCCCUGGGGAGUACGAGCGCAAGUUGAAACUCAAAGGAUUUGACGGGGACCCGCCACAAGCGGUGGAGCCUGUGUUUUAUUCGAGCACGCGGAGACUUACAAGUCUGGACUCCUUGAAACUCUAGAGAUGAGCUUCCUCGGGACAAGUGACAGGGUGCAUGUUGUCUCAGCUCGUCGUGGAGUGUGUGAGUCCGCACGAGGCCACCUUACUAUUGCCGCUUUAUUGGCAUCUAGUGAUGCGGGUCACACCUGAAGUGGAGAUCAUCUCAGGCCUUGAAUGGUCAACGUCAUGGGAACAGGACUACCGGCGCAUCCAAGGUUCUCUGGGAUAGAGUACGACUCGAUCUA
rnacentral:rRNA from 1 species